rnacentral:rRNA from 1 species
GGACGAACGCUGGCGGCGUGCUUAACACAUGCAAGUGGAGCGACGAACCAGGGCUUCGGCCUGGGGCAAAGCCGCGAACGGGUGAGUAACACGUGGGUAACCUGCCCUGAUGACCGGGACAACCCGAGGAAACUCGGGCUAAUACCGGAUGUGCUCCCACUACACCAGUGGUGUGAGUAAAGGUAGCUUCGGCCUCCGCAUCGGGAUGGGCCCGCGGCGCAUUAGCUUGUUGGUGGGGUAAGCCUACCAAGGCUACGAUGCGUAGCUGGUCUGAGAGGACGAUCAGCCACACUGGGACUGAGACACGGCCCAGACUCC